UCCCCGGUAGCUCAACCGGUAGAGCAUCCGGCUGUUAACCGGAGGGUUGUAGGUUCGAGUCCUACCCGGGGAGCCA
rnacentral:tRNA from 1 species